GGAGAGUUGGCAGAGCCCGGUUUAAUGCACCUGACUUGAAAUCCAAACCCACCGGGGGUUCGAAUCCCUCACUCUCCGCCA
rnacentral:tRNA from 1 species